GGGGGCAUAGCUCAGCGUUAGAGCAUCUGUCCUGCAUGCAGAAGGCCCCCAGGUUCAAUCCUCAGCAUCUCCA